UACGGAGGGUGCAAGCGUUGUCCGGAAUCACUGGGUGUAAAGGGUGUGUAGGUGGGACAGUAAGUCAGAGGUGAAAGCCUGCGGCUCAACCGUAGAAUUGCCCCUGAUACUGCUGUUCUUGAGUCCUGGAGAGGUCGCUGGAAUUCGUGGUGUAGCGGUGAAAUGCGUAGAUAUCACGAGGAACACCAGAGGUGUAGACGGGUGACUGGACAGGUACUGACACUGAGGCACGAAAGCGUGGGGAGCAAACAGGAUUAGAAACCCCCGUAGUCC
rnacentral:rRNA from 1 species